rnacentral:rRNA from 1 species
GUCGGGGGAUGCAAGCGUUAUCCGGAAUCACUGGGCGUAAAGCGUCUGUAGGUGGUGAUGCAAGUCACUGGUGCAAAACUCUGGCUCAACCGGAGGAAAGCCAGUGAAACUGCAUGACUAGAGUGUGGGAGAGGUAGAAGGAAUUCCCUGAGUAGCGGUGAAAUGCGUAGAUACAGGGAAGAACAUCGGAGGCGAAAGCGUUCUACUGGAACACAACUGACACUGAGAGACGAAAGCUAGGGGAGCUAAUGGG